AUCGGGUCUGUGGUUGCAAGUCGAUGCCAGCCGCGGGCGAAGCGAUCCACGUAAGCGGAACAAAAGUUCCGUGAGCACGGCGCGGUCUAGAAGUAAGUCCGCCCGGCCCGAAAGAGCCGAGAAAGGCGGCGUGAGGGGAAUACACCCCAGGCAAGGCCUUCAGGCGGCGAGUGUGGGGGCGAAAACCAGGUCAGCCGGU
rnacentral:ncRNA from 1 species